UACAGAGGUCCCAAGCGUUGUUCGGAUUCACUGGGCGUAAAGGGUGCGUAGGCGGUCGGGUAAGUCUGAUGUGAAAAUCUCACAGCUUAACUGUGAAACUGCAUUGGAUACUAUUCGGCUUGAGAGUUGGGGAGGGGGACUGGAAUUCUUGGUGUAGCAGUGAAAUGCGUAGAUAUCAAGAGGAACACCAGUGGCGAAGGCGAGUCCCUGGACAACUUCUGACGCUGAGGCACGAAAGCUAGGGGAGCAAACAGG
rnacentral:rRNA from 1 species